UCUGUACUGUUAGCUGCCGUCUUGGCCCAAGACUAUUUUGGCCCCACAAGUUUCGACCACGUCGUUCGUCAUCAGCGGACUUCACAUUCACGGUACAUUGCAGGACAGAAUGGCUGGCAUGGAUGGAAACUAAGGCAGGAGAUUGGCCAUUUAACGUCAAGCAACAGGUGAUGUAGGCAGUCAAAUUGAUUGAUUUGCCCCUGUUCGUCACAAAUGACGUGUUCUGACAUGGGGGAGUUGGACAGCAAAACUCUCUACAGACUAUCGGCGCAGCUUCAUGCUCGCGAAUGGAGGGGACUAGCCACAAUGCUUGGCUUCAGCUGUGCGGAAGUCUCCCACUUUGAGGCAAGCCACCCCCAUCAAGUGGUUAAUCAAAUCUACAGCAUGCUGGAUGCCUGGAAAAACAGACAGCGUGACGAUGUGAACCAGACUGAAGCUCUCUGCCGGGCACUGACGGAGAUCGGGAAUGCCCGACUCGCUCAUAAACUGCAGGGAGGAUCCAUGUAACGGUAGAAGUAAACAGCAGUUGUUGUUCGCUGCUUCAAGAAGUACCUAUUUGAAGACGCUACUGUGCAGAGUAUGUCUUUUUUACCAACAAGGAUUUCCAUCAGUAGCCACAGGUAUCUUCUACAGACCAUUACUGCAAUAGCACUUACAUGCUCGUGCACAUUCAUUUUGGCCAGUCAUAAUUACUGUCUUGGUACGAGAAGCCAUGUGUGCAGUGAAGGGGUAGGGGUGGUUGCUGACAUUGCGUACCCCUGGGCACUGGGAGUAGGGGUCCGAGGCAAUACGUGAAUACACUGAGGAAUAGCAUUGCUUUCCAUAAAUUGAUAUGGAAUCAAUGCACUGUCUCAUAUUUUUACCUGCAGGCCUACGUGUAGGGACCAGCUUUGUGAAUUGAAAAUUCAUUAGAAAGCAUUCCAUUUCAGCCUACAUGCCCGGAAUUCAUGUAAAAAGACAUGGACUCCCUUAAGCAGCCUGCAAGGUCAUCGAAGCCACCGGCAGCCAUCUUACUGUGCCGAAUACAAAAGGUCAUACAGUAGCUUGCUCGCCACCGUUGAUCAAAUUUCUUCCUGGUUUCGAUUGUCACAAUAGCAAGCAAGCCAACCAUUGCCUUUGUAUUUGAUCGGUGCAUCGGCACAGUAAAAUAGCCACUGGGGGCUUCAUUCAGUUCAAAGGCGUCCAUGCCUCCAUGUGGAUCUUACCAUUACCAGCGCCGGCAGUCUGAUACGUCAAAGGGCAGUGUGCUUGUGGGGGGUUUGGACCACCACAUAAGCCAUGCAUACAAAGGGGGAGAAGAUAUCAAAAACAUCAAUGUUUUGUGAAGACAUGUGUCUGAAUGGACAGCCUUUGAAUGAUGUACGCACAAGCUGCGUGGGAGUGUGAAAAUCCCUGCAGUAUGAUUGGCCUCAAAAGUCUGGUCCCCAGACUACCCUGCAUUGUAGAUAUUUGUUCUAGAUAUUUUUGUUCACUAUCGUUUCUGGAUUCAUGUUUUCUUGAUAACUGUCAUGUAUAUUAUGCAAGGCACUAGAAUUGUUGAGAAAUUUAAAGGAAUUUAUAUAAGAGCUUAUGAUGAACUGCCUAAAGGCUGGCUCAUACAACAGGCAAAUGCAGUGGGUGAAGUGAAUUUAAUUUUACCUCAUACAAAAAUUGGCAGCGGAAGUUUCAACUUUUGCAAAUUUGCAUUGGCAAUAUUUCAGAUGAUGUUGAAAAUUCACGUUCAUGUUUGUUUUUGCACGAAGUGCGAACCAGUGGGUUCAUGCUUGCGGCAAACUCAAAGGCUGUUUUUCUGGUGAGAAGGCUGUUUUACUGGUGCAUAAGUAUUUACUGUGUUGUUACAUUAGCUGAAACUACUGGUCUUGUUUGUUUUAUGUACUGGCACAGUCUAAAUGGCCUAGGGAAUAUUUAUCUUGGUCCAAAAAAUUUUAUACUAUCAAUGUGUGUGGUCACUGCCCGAGUAGUUGAAGAAUAGUUGAUACUGACCGUUUUUUGCUUCCACCACAUGCACAAGUUACAAAAUAAAUUGUAGCUGACAUGUCAGUUGGGAGACAUUUCAAGUCUUUUGGGGGUUUCCAAUCCCAAGCAAGUUUUCCUGAUUGGUUUGAUUUGACCGGAGACAAAUCCUGAUGGCCCCCUUGAGUGGUGAUAUGCAUUGUGUCGGGUUUUGUAUGGAGCGAGUGUCGCAGAUCAAUGGCAACGUACAUAUACAAUAGCUGCCACGGUGCCAGCCGCCAUUAAAAGGGUCCCCUGUGAUGGCGGUACCUUGGUCACCGGAAUUGUCCUUAGGCCUCGGGUAUUACGAAAAGCAUUUAAUCUUGAGCUGUUCUAUGACUGUCAUUGAAGACAAAGUGCUAGCCAAAGACACAAGUGUGUCUGUAUGUAUUAUUGGAAAGCUGCAAUGUUUUCAAAUUAUUCAGGGUUAUUCGUCAUUUGAAAGUAACACCGACGGGUGAAAUAGUUCCGGGUAAGGAAGUUGACUGAUUCCUAUGGUUACAUUUAUGAUUUACACGUACCUGUUUGUAAUAACUUUCUGAAGGGAUUCAGGCAAUCAACGCAACAGAUUUCAGAUUUUGUUUAAACACACAGGAUGUCCAUUGUUUGUGUCAUAUUGUAGUUGUCAAUAAAGUAUGAGGCUAUUCAGUGCCGGAAUGCCCAUUAAAAAAUAGUUCCGUUGGUGGCAAGCUCAGAUGGCCUUGAUGAGUAUACAAUUUAAAUGUGAUUUUCAGACUUAGUUUGGCACUGCACCCAGCCUUCUUGUGUUUUGUAAGUGCAAUCCAGGUGCUACAUGACAUAAAUUAAAACCAGAAGUUAAAGGUACCUGUCUUUUCUCCACCAUGAGUCUUUUUAUACCUGAAUUCUUCAUUUAACUUCAUUUCGGUACAUCGGAUAAUUAUAAACAAGCCCUAAAGAUUACUUUUAACUCACGGUUUGUGUGGAAUAAAUUGCAACUGAUUGAAAUAAAUCACAUACUAUUUGCAGCAAACAAA
rnacentral:lncRNA from 1 species